AGCAGCUUAUUCACAAUUGCCGAUGCUGA
rnacentral:piRNA from 1 species